UACGUAGGCAGCAAGCGUUGUUCGGAGUUACUGGGCGUAAAGAGCUCGUAGGCGGCCUGUUGCGUCCGCUGUGAAAUCCCGGGGCUUAACCCCGGGCGUGCAGUGGAUACGGGCUGGCUGGAGGCAGGCAGGGGAGAACGGAAUUCCCGGUGUAGCGGUGAAAUGCGCAGAUAUCGGGAGGAACACCGGUGGCGAAGGCGGUUCUCUGGGCCUGUACUGACGCUGAGGAGCGAAAGCGUGGGGAGCGAACAGG
rnacentral:rRNA from 1 species